rnacentral:rRNA from 1 species
GGCCAGGACUGCAGUUGACCGUACCGUAAUCCGACACAGGUAGGCGAGGCGAGCAGCCUAAGGUGCUCGAGUGAUUUACGGAAAAGGAACUCGGCAAAAUGACCCCGUAACUUCGGGAUAAGGGGUGCCGGCAGUAGCUGACCUAAUCAAGGGAAGGCGAGACCGGCCGCAGAGAAUCGUCCCAAGCGACUGUUUAGCAAAAACACAGGAGCGUGCUAAGGCAUUGUCCAAGCCAACGUAUACGCUCUGACUCCCGCCCGGUGCCGGAAGGUUAAGGCAAGCUGUCAGCCGCAAGGCGAAGCAGUGAACCGAAGCCCCGGUAAACGGCGGCCGUAACAAUAACGGUCCUAAGGUAGCGAAAUUCCUGGUCGGGUAAGUUCCGACCUGCACGAAUGGAGUAACGACUUGGGGGCUGUCUCUUCCGUAAGCUCGGCGAAAUAGAAGCAUCGGUGAGGAUUCCGAUUACCCGCGACAGGACAAAAAGACCCCAUGCACCUUUACUACAACCUGUCAUUGAUUGUCGGUAUGCGUUGCGUAGCAUAGGUGGGAGCCGGUGAAACCGGGGUUUCGGCCCUGGUGGAGGCACCAGUGAAAUACCACCCUUCGUUUACUAACAAUCUCACUCAGCCGGCAACACCGGCGAGGACCGUGGCAGGCGGGUAGUUUGACUGGGGCGGUCGCCUCCUAAAAAGUACCGGAGGCGCACAAUGGUUGGCUCAGUGCGGUCGGUAAUCGCACGUCGAGUGUAUACGCAGAAGCCAGCCUGACUGCGAGCGCGACAGCGCGAGCAGGGACGAAAGUCGGUGUAAGUGAUCCGGCGGGACCGUGUGGACGGCCCGUCGCUCAUCGGAUAAAAGGUACGCUGGGGAUAACAGGCUUAUCGCGCCCGAGAGUUCACAUCGACGGCGCGGUUUGGCACCUCGAUGUCGGCUUGUCACAUCCUGGGGCUGGAGAAGGUCCCAAGGGUCCGGCUGUUCGCCGGUUAAAGUGGCACAUAAGCUGGGUUCAGAACGUCGUGAGACAGUUCGGUCUGUAUCCGUCGUGGGCGUGGGAAUGUUGAGGGACGUCGACCUUAGUACGAGAGGACCGGGUCGAAGCGACCGCUCGUGUACGGGCUAUCCUGCCAAGGGUAUCGCCCGGUAGCGAUGUCGCGCGCAGAUAACCGCUGAAAGCAUCUAAGUGGGAAACUGUUCCCAAGAUGAACAUUCCUGGAUCUUAAGAUCCCUGAAGGGCCGUGGGAGACUACCACGUUGAUAGGCG